rnacentral:sRNA from 1 species
CUUUACUAAUGAUAUCAUGCAGAAAAUUCGCACAGUUGAGCAGGACGGAAAGACCAUCAAAC